rnacentral:rRNA from 1 species
AAUUCGUAACAAAGGUUCCGUAGGUGGAACCUCGGGAAGGAUCAAUUA